rnacentral:rRNA from 1 species
GAUGAACGCUGGCGGCGUGCCUAAUACAUGCAAGUCGAGCGAACAGACGAGGAGCUUGCUCCUUUGACGUUAGCGGCGGACGGGUGAGUAACACGUUGGUAACCUACCUAUAAGACUGGGAUAACUUCGGGAAACCGGAGCUAAUACCGGAUAAUAUUUCGAACCGCAUGGUUCGAUAGUGAAAGAUGGCUUUGCUAUCACUUAUAGAUGGACCUGCGCCGUAUUAGCUAGUUGGUAAGGUAACGGCUUACCAAGGCAACGAUACGUAGCCGACCUGAGAGGGUGAUCGGCCACACUGGAACUGAGACACGGUCCAGACUCCUACGGGAGGCAGCAGUAGGGAAUCUUCCGCAAUGGGCGAAAGCCUGACGGAGCAACGCCGCGUGAGUGAUGAAGGUCUUCGGAUCGUAAAACUCUGUUAUUAGGGAAGAACAAACGUGUAAGUAACUGUGCACGUCUUGACGGUACCUAAUCAGAAAGCCACGGCUAACUACGUG